rnacentral:tRNA from 1 species
CUCUGGGUAGUGCAAAUGGUUAGCACAUUCAGCUGCUAAUCAAAAGGUUGGAGUUUCAAGUCCACCCAGAGG